GAGUUUGAUCCUGGCUCAGAACGAACGCUGGCGGCAGGCCUAACACAUGCAAGUCGAGCGCUUCACUUCGGUGAGGAGCGGCGAACGGGUUAGUAACGCGUGGGAACGUACCCAAAGGUAGGGAAUAGCCACUGGAAACGGUGAGUAAUGCCCUAUGUGCCCUUCGGGGAAAGAUUUAUCGCCUUUGGAUCGGCCCGCGUUAGAUUAGGUAGUUGGUGGGGUAAGUGGCCUACCAAGCCUACGAUCUAUAGCUGGUUUGAGAGGAUGAUCAGCAACACUGGGACUGAGACACGGCCCAGACUCCUACGGGAGGCAGCAGUGGGGAAUCUUAGACAAUGGGCGAAAGCCUGAUCUAGCCAUGCCGCGUGAGUGAUGAAGGCCUUAGGGUCGUAAAGCUCUUUCGCCAGGGAUGAUAAUGACAGUACCUGGUAAAGAAACCCCGGCUAACUCCGUGCCAGCCGCCGCAGUAAG
rnacentral:rRNA from 1 species